AGUGAGACCACCUUCCUGUGGUGGAUGGGGGACACAUUUUGAUCAAACCUUCUAUUUGUAUAAAGAAGAAAUAGGUUUUGGAUGCAAAGCUGAUAAAAGUAUCCAUUUUUCAGGCAUCAGGGAAUAUCCGAAAAAUCUAACUUUAUGGGAUUUGUAACAGGAUUGGUAUCAUGAAGUGGUUUAGAAGGAAUAGCUUUUGUAUGUAAAGUAAAUUAAAAAAAAAUGAUCCCUUUUUAUGGGAUCAUGAGUUGUGCUUGUGUAGGCCUGGCUGGUGGGAGUUGGAAUAGCCAGCAGAAAGCAGGCACCAGCAAACCUAUUCUAGUAGUAGUCGUCAACAGAAAGCAGGCAGUGGCAAACUAAUCCAAAUAGUAGCCAGCGGACAGCAGGCUACCGGGACUGAGAGGCAUCCAGGACAUCACCACCACCAGACUCCGUGCGUCUCUCUUAUAUCUUCCCAUGCCGUCGGGUCAAAGGGGACGUACCACAAAUACAUCUACAAACGCUGUCAUCCUUUGCCAGGAGCCGGACAAGCGCCCAAUGCAGGAGAAGCUGGCUCAGUCAAAGACUGGUUGCAGUGGUGUCCCAUCUCAUCCAGACGGAGCAGAAUGGG